rnacentral:piRNA from 1 species
UUCCUUGAGGAAGUGGCAACUGAGCU